rnacentral:tRNA from 1 species
CCGUAGCUCAGCUGGAUAGAGCGCUGCCCUCCGAAGGCAGAGGUCAGAGGUUCGAAUCCUCUCG